AGUGUAUCAGUGUAUAAUAUGACAUUUCAAACACGCCUACAUAGUGUCCUAUGUGCACAUUUAAUAGUUUAUAUUAUCAGGAUAUAUGAGGCUUAACUUAGUUUAAUCCAUACCAAAACGAAAAAAUGCAUUUUAUCUUCCUUAUAUGCAACAUGCUGUUCUGGAGUAACAUUUUACUGGCAAAUAAAGAUGAGGAUGUGACCGACGAAUGUAGAAAUCUUCUCCUCAGUCCCGAAUUUGAUGACGACAUAGUAACAGAGGAAGAACUUACGUGUAUGUACUGGGCCUAUGGAUAUAGUAGAGAUGAGGCAGCUAGUUUGGCUAAUCAGUCAAAAAAGAAUGACUCUGUUGUUAAUUGACAAAAAUGAGAUGUGCAAUGAGACAUAGUAUCAGUGGUGAAGAGAUUUAAAGAACAUGUUGGAUCACAACCAAUUUGAAGAACUUGUUUUUUUUCUCUCAAAAUAAAUAUAAUGUCACGUUA